rnacentral:rRNA from 1 species
CAGUCGUACCUGCGGAUAAUCAGCUUCUUGAGUGUGAUUAUGUGGUUUAUGAGGAGUUUAACCGCCUUCAUGUAUUGCAUAUUUGUGCUCUUGGGUGUACUUGUCUGUGUGGUAGGUUAACAUCAAUUUCGGUCGUCAUAAAAUGAUCGGAGGAAUGUGGCUUUGGUCUCGUAUCGAAGUGUUAUAGACUCUGGUAGAUGUGACGAUUGGGAUUGGAGGAUUGCAACGGAUACCCGUUCGGGCUACUCGUCUGAUCUCUGAAGGUUGCUCCGGUACCGAA